UACAGAGGUCCCGAGCGUUGUUCGGAUUCACUGGGCGUAAAGGGUGCGUAGGUGGCGAGGUAAGUCGGAUGUGAAAGCUCGGAGCUCAACUCCGAAAUGGCAUUGGAAACUACCUUGCUCGAGGGUUGGAGGGGGGACUGGAAUGCUUGGUGUAGCAGUGAAAUGCGUAGAGAUCAUGAGGAAGACCAGUGGCGAAGGCGGGUCUCUGGACAGUUCCUGACACUGAGGCACGAAGGCCAGGGGAGCAAACGGG
rnacentral:rRNA from 1 species